rnacentral:lncRNA from 10 species
CCAUUCCAGUGUAGAAAUCAGAUAUUUCACUUUCCCUGCCUGUCAUAUACACAGAUGUUAUCCUAUUAUUUGGCCUCCACUAAUUAGAUACAUUUAAGUGAGAUUUAGAUGUAACAAUCAACAAUGUGAAGAAAUGGGCACCACAUGGAAUCCAUUCUUCAUAUAAGAUUUAGGGCAGCAAUGCCAAGGAUCUAUUAUCCAAUUCCCAGUGUAAGCAGUGUCCUCUGGAUUGUUUGUGCCCAGUUGUGGAGUUUCCACUGGAGAACUACCACAGUGUGUGGUGAGUAUUAUGCAAUUCUUAAUUCUGAGACUAAAAAUCUGGUCUUCUAGGAGAUCCUUUGAAUUACCAGAUGUCCUUAAAUAAAUUACUUUCCUGUUUAAACAAGUUAAAGUGGGUGUUCCUUUGUGCAGCUAUGAGCUCCGAAAGAUUUAUCUCCUUAUCUUGAGUUGUACCUUUCCAGCUGCUUUAGCAGAAUCUACUACCUAUACCUGGACCUUAAUUGUAUUUGUUCAUUUAGUCACUCAAGAAAUAUCAAUUGAGUACCUAUAAAUGUCAGAUGCUACUGUAGAUAUCAGGAACUCUUCAGAGGACUAAACAGAAACAUUUCAUGUGUUGAUCAUAUUGUGGGCUGAGAAAAUAAUAUUUCCUGAGUGAUCACUGUACAGAAGAAAAUGUAAGUAGAGCACAUGAGCACUCAGGAACUGGUGGCAUAAGGAUGCUAUUUAAGGUAUGAUAUGCAUGGAAGACUUCUCUUAUUUGGGACAUUUGAUGAGAAACCUAAGGCUCUAAAAUAUUCUGUGACCUUCUGGAGGAAGCUCAUUGUAGACAGUGUAAACAGUAAGUGAAAAGGCUCUGACCUGUCAGUGUGAGUCAUGUGCUUAGAAAACACAACAGCCUGAGAUAGGGAGGAACUGCCUGAAACAGCCCAAGCUUUGUUCCUGUCCUUGUUAGGGAAUGUACCAUUGUGAGUCAGGAAGGAAAUGCCCAAGUCAGCCAAGGUUUUGUUUCUCUCUCCCCUGGAAGCAGGAUGUACUUGAAAGUUUUGCACAGCAAGUCAUAUGGCCCAUAAGGUAUAUAAACCAGAUUGGGCGGGCUGCCUUUCAGGGUCCUUCAGCUGUAGUGUAAGUGGAGGCACAUGCACUAUCUGUGCUAGUCAGCUUUCUUGAGCCUUGGGGGACUGGCUCACAAAAAAACAGGCCUACAUUUUCCCUUGCAGCCAUGUGCACAUAGUAAACUCGCCUCAUACAAACUAUGGCAUGUGAGUGUGUUCUGUCUCACUAGACUCAGGUAUUAGCAACGUUGAAGAGGAGGAUGGCGUAGGUGGAAGCACUCGACUCCUAUUCCUGGUAGUUCACCUAGUGAUGAUCUCUGCUGUGUUUUACGCAUUGAGAGUAUUUCCUUGGGACUGGCUAUUAGUGAACGUGUUUCAGAGAGGGCGGAUAACACAGAGCCUCAUAGGGCAUUGUAAGUACUUACAUUGCCCUGUGAAUGUGUUUGAAAGCCAUCGGAGAUUUUAAACAGAGGAGUAAUAUCUGGAUUAUAUUUAAAACUAUCACUGACUAUGAUAAAUAGAUUGAGAGGGCAUGUGUUGGGUAAAGACACUGUUUAGUAAAUAGCUUUAGUAGAAAAGAGAUCAGAACACUGAGCCUUAGGCUUUUUCAGUCACAGAGAAAGACAGAGAAUCUAGAAAAGGAGACUGUACACGAGAUAGGAGAAAACAAGAAAAUAAGGUGUCACAGAAGCGAAGCCACAUGAAGGUAAAAUUUCAAGGAAGAAGUCAACUAUAGCAAAUGACAUGUCGAGAAGAUGGGACAGAGAGGACAAGAACCCGGAACCAUAGGUGCGAACACAGCUGUAACACUGUAGCCCUUCCACGUGACAGGAAGCAGUGGUAAGGCCAGGCCAGCCCAGGAGCCAUGGACCUGAGUGGGGCGGUGGGACCAAAUGAGCUGUAACACAAACCAGCUAAAACACAUUCCUGGCCUGCCCGCCGAGCUGCCGGCAGUGACACCCUCCUAUUUGCCAGACUUGGAGAGAAGAGCUGUGACCCUUCUGGGCACCCAAAUCUUGGGACUCCCCGAGCCAGAGAUACGAAACGGCGUUAACACCUCUUGGGGCUCCACGGUUGCUGGUCUCUCUUAAUCUUCGGACACCAGUGCAUUCCUCUAGUCCAGACAGCGGCGCCCAAGGCAGAAGCCGCUGGAGGCACAGUUGGUCCAGCUACAGUCUCUCUCGCUUGGAGCUUGUGCCUGUGCCUGUGCCAGUGCCUGGAGCUGCCCGCCCCACCGCAGAAGCCAGUGCACCUGGCUGUGAGCAGUGGCAGGACCCUGUGCUCCCUCGCUUACACAUCCCUCAUCGCUCCAUGCUGAGCUCACCCGCGGGGAAGCGUGGGAUCUGGGCUGGUAGCAUGAACCAAGCACAGCCUGCCAGGCUGAGUGGGUGGAGCUAGCCCAGCUGUCGUGAGCAAAACUCAAGCAGAGGUGCCAGUGGCCAAAGAGGCUUCCAUCUGGUGAAGUGGCACUGAAAGAAUCCUGUGUAGCUGGGUUAGUGCAGCUUAUUUUUCACUCAGUGUUUUGUCAAAGGUUGCAUUUAAGUGCCUUGUAUUAGAUUUCCACCUUAUGUUGAUGGGUCUGUGUGUAGAUUCGUGAAUGCUUUCAACACUGUCCCGUAUCUUUCUAUACUUACUCCUGAGUGGGUGCAGCCUAGAGCAUGUGAAUGGUCUUUCUGAAACACAGAGUCAAUUUGGAUCUCAGGGAGGCUUUUUAGGCUGUCUUUUUUUUUUCCUGGUUCUAUUAAAUAUCUGACUGUUUUGCCAUUUUGCAGGUAUGUUGGAGCUACUAGCCUCCUCUUAAACACUCGCCACUAAGAUCUCAAUCAUUUUUGACAAUUCUUUAGGCAGGUAGUUUUCCAUACUCUGUUCCAAAUAAAUCCAGUCUCCUUGGGCAGAACUGCUAACUUUUCCAUUGUUCAUUUCGUUUGAUUUGUAAAUUCAGAUUUGAAAACAUUGAAAUUAAAGACAAUAAUGAUUUCUAAGUAGAGAUUAAUCCCUUUACUACCAGAAACCUUUCCCCAAAUACAUGUCCUGGAGCACAUGUAAGGAAAGUUCCCUAAUACAGACUAACCAGUAAGGCUUGCCUUAUAUUAAUAAUUAAAUAUAAUUAUUUAAUAUUAUAGAUGCAAAUUUAUUUAAUCCUGGUUCGCUUACACAAGUGUUGCUUCAGAAACAUUGGACUUUAUCAGUUUUCUGAUGUUUCUCCUUUGAAUUUGAAACUGACCCAAUAGUCCCAUAGACUGUUCUUUUGGAUAAACAUAGGAAUUGACCUUUCUGUUCUUAAAGCUUGAAAUUGGCAUUUGUUUUAUCUGAGUUCCUUCCUCAAUAAAGAACCUUCAGUCCUCUAAAAAAAAAAAAAGUAGCAAAGAAUUGAAACUCACCAGAUCACCACAUCCAGAUAACGAGACUUUAGACCCCUCACUCAUCAUGAUUGCUUCCUUGCCCCUUCCUAGUUCCUGUUUUCUUAUACAGUGUUACAUUUCUCCCCUGCUAUAUAAACCCCUGGUUUUAGUGGUUCAGGGAGAUGGAUUUGAGAUUGCGCUCCCAUCUCUAGCUGCAGCACCCGAUUAAGGCCUUCUUACUUGGCAAUACUUGAUUGGAUUUCUGUGUGGUAAGCAGCAGGGCCUAGACUAAACCUCUGGUGUUUUGGUAACAAAUUCAGUUGUUAUAUAGUAAGUGAUCCAUUAGAAAUUAAUAUUCUUAACACACAUUUCUUUGGGAUUAAGCUUUAUCAGAAUACAUUUCUUUCAUUCAAACUUUAUAAGUAAUUUUUCAGCUAAAAAAUCCACAAAUUACAACGUGUUCAAAUAGGUGCCAAUCUUCAGAAGAGAUAAACAUGCUCAUUAGUACAUAUCUCAAUAAAUAAUUAGGGAUUGAUCCUUGAAAUAUGAUUAUACUUAUAUGUACCUCUCCCAUUCAAUCUAUUAGCAAAUUCUAUCCACACAGAAUAUAGCUCAAAUCAGUCUACUUUCCUUCAUCCCAGUUUCCUCCACCUAAUUCUAAGCCAGUGUCAGUUCUAUCCUUGAAACUAGAGUCUCUUUCCACCCUUACUUAGCACCAAUAAAACCUUCACUCAGUAGUCAGAGGGAACUUUUUAAAAUAAAAAUAGAAUCCAAAGAAAUUGAAAUCAAUAUAUCACAGUGAUACCUGCGUGUCCAUGGUCAUUGCAGCAUUAUUUACAAUAGUCAAAAUAUGAAAUCAAAAUGCAUGUUCAACAAUAGACAAAUGGAUUAAAAAAUGUGUUUUAUAAACCUGAUGGAAGGUUUAUAAAGUUAUAAGUUUAUAAAGUUAUUUAUAAGUUAUUUAUAAAGUUUAUAAGGUUAUUCAGCCUUAAAAAGGAAAGAAAUUAUGUCAUUUUUGACAACGUGGAUGAAUCUGGAGAACAUUAUGUUAAGUGAAAUAAGUCAGGCAUAGAAAGACAAAUACAACAUGAUCUUACUUAUAUAUGGAGCCUUAAACAAUCAAACUCAUAGAAGUAGAGUAAAAUGUUGGUUACCAGAGGCUGGAGGCAGGAGAAGAAAUGGGAAAAGGUUUGUCAAACGGUACAAAGUUUCAGUUAGUCAGGAAGAAUACGUUUUUAAGAUCUAUUGCACAACAUGGUGACUAUAUUAAUAAUGCAUUGUAUAUUCAAAAUUGCUAAGAGAUUAAAUGUCAAAUGUCUCACCACAAAAAAUAAGUGAAGUGAUGUAUAUGCUAAUUAGCCUUAUUUAAUCAUUCCAGGUUGUAUCACAUUGUAUCCCACAAAUACAUGCAAUUAUUCUUUGUCAAUUAAAAUGCCAUCCUGUUUUGUUAUUUUUUCUAUUGAGUGUUUUGUAUUCUUUUACUUUAUUUUACUAAUGUGUUCAAUAGUCAUAUGAUAGAAAUAAAGUCAGGGCUCAUCAGAUAAAGAAACAUUUUCAGGUGGAUUAAUUAUCAAAAUUUAUACAUGAAAACCUGUAUUUAAAAGUAUAAAAUAUAGAAACAAACAUAUACAAAUAUAGAUACAGAAAUGUAUUACAUGUAUUUAGAUAUAUAUACACAUACAUAAAUAUAUACAUUCAAUUCUGUAUUUUAUGUUACAUCUCAUGUUUAGGAAGAAACACCUUUCUAGUACUAAAACAUUUUCGUCAUAAGCAACUAGAACUUCAUGUUAUCACAACAUGUAAUGUUCCCUCUUUGUCCACCCCCACUCCCAAUUUUCUUACCUUACCUAUAGAGUAUUAUGUGUACAUAUUUAUAUAAAUGUUUUUGUGCACUGAAUAUAUUGUUUUACCAUUUACUUUUUAGCCCUCAACAAUUUUCUUGAAAUAUUUUUUAUAAAAGUUUACAUAACUACCUUAUCUCUUAUAAUUGAUAAUUUAAACCCUAUAUGAAUGGCUGCUACUUUAUCAUUAUGUUUUCUGUUUCAUGCAAUAAUAAAAUGACAUAUGUCAGAUAGAUUGCAAAUUGCUUAAUGCAUUGUCUAAUCUUCUCGUAUUCUUUAGUAAGAGAACUUCAUUUUUUCAAGGUAGCAAUUGACCCAACUAAAAGACAAAAUUUUAUACUUUGCUGCUAGUUUGGACCAUUUAACUAAAAACUGCUAAAUAAAUAUGCCAAUUUUAUAGUACUUUCAGGAAUCAUUCUUAAGGAAAUAGUCUUUCAUCUUCUUUCUUUCCUUCUGUUACCUGCUGGCUGUAAUAUAUAUGCAAUCACAUACAAAAGCAGUAAUAUGAAGGAACUUGAACCAUCAUUAAUUGUGGAAAUGCAAUGCAAGCAAAGACCCAGAUGCUGAAUGAUAGCCUUAAAAGCUACCUGCCUAGACCUUUGUUUUGCAUUGGUAAACAAUUUUGGCAAACUGUUACAUUUUAUGCUUUGGAAGGCAAACUGCAGACUGGCUAAGGUGGUGUUAUUACGUGGAAUUGUAAAGGGAGUCACAGGAUCCCUUUAUGAUUGCUGCUUGCUGCUUUUGGUAAAAUCCUGCAAAAUUGUUAUGGACUCAACGUAGAAGAAGCCUAUCUUUAAGCAGAAAUAAGAAUCCCUUAUAUUGCAGAUUUGUAGGAUAAAAAGUCAACAGCUUCUGUCCUAGAUGAGAUGUGUAUUUGUGCAUGUGUAGAAAGAUAGUUGGAUGUAUAGAUAGAUAGAUAGAUAGAUAGAUAGAUAGAUAGAUAGAUAGAUAGAGAUAGAUGUAUAGAUAGAUAGAUAGAUGGAUAGAUAGAUGGAUAGAUAGAUAGAUAGAUAGAUAGAUAGACAGACAGACAGACAAAGUUUUCUAGGGCUGAUAUAACAAAUUACCACAAACUUGGUGGCUUGAAACAAAAAAUAAUAAUUAUCUCAUAGUUAAGGAAGCUAGCAGUUUAAAAGUGUUAGGGUGAGUACUUGAUGGAGACAAUGAGGGAGUAUCUGUUCCAUGUUUCUCUUCUGAUUUCUGGUGGCUACUGGCAAUCCAUGGCAUUUAUUGGCUUGUAGGUGAAAUCACACCACUCUACUUCCAUUAUCACAUAAACUGUUUUUUUCCUUGUGUUUCUCCCUGUCUUCAUAUGGGCUUCUUAAAAAGAUGCCAUCAUUAGAUUUAAGACUCACCCUAAUCCAGUAUGACCACAUCUUAAAUUACUUCUGCCAAAAAUCCUCUAUUUCCAAAUAAAAGUAUUUUCUGAGAUUUCCUAUGAUCAUGAAUUUUGGAGGGAUGCUACUAAGCACAGUAAAGAUAGAUGAUAGAUAGAGAGCAGGGCCACAGAUUUCACAAUAAUAGUUUACUGAAAUACCAUUACUCUGCUGCAAAGAGGCAAUUUAGGGUGUUGUUUUUCUAUCCAAGCUCAUUAUUUCAGAUGGCCUCAAUUUUCAGAGAGGUGCAGAUGGAAAAUGCAACAGUUAUAGGAAAUGUAAAAUACUUUAAUCUUAAAUAAUCUGUUUAUAUAAGCCCUUUGCCUAUGGUUACUUGCAUUUGGGACUGGAAGCAAAUAAAUCAGAAGUCUACUAUAUGUACAUACCUGUCCUGAAAAAAUAGCCAGUGGCAGUUAUAUCCCUAAAGAAAGUCUAGGUCCUUAAAACUACACCACUAGAAAGUGGUCUAAUAUAAUUGAGCAAUCACAAAGAAGGAGAAAGUCUUCAUUACUCAUCUCACUAAUGGCAAUGGAGGACAGGGGAAACAAAUUUAGAGAAGACACAGAUACAGAACAUGGAGGUCAAUGGAGAAAGCUGGGUUUAUCCUGGCAUGCAAACUUCCCAAGGAGCAGAGCUGUAGAUAUUUAUUCCAUUCGUUAUUUCCAGAUCAUGGCAUUUUGGAAUAGAGGUGCAUACCUGCAGGGGAUAGUCAGGUUCCAAUUCCAAAGAUAAAUUCUGUUUGUCUACUACUUGAGCAGACUUAUUCAAAAUAUAAAACAAGGCAACAAGUAAUGUCAUGCACAGUUGAUGGAUGCAUUUUAGUGGGUUUCUUGUAUUAGAUUAAGGAGGGAAGACAUUCAGUGUUACACAAGUGCCCUCAUAAGCAUGCAACAUCUCUAGCUUCCAAAAUAGCUAAUAAUCAUAUGAGUAUGGUUAUUUUCUAUGUUAAUGAUGAUGUCCUUAGUGUUAUCUAUUUACUCAAUAAACACACACAUGAAACAACCCUGUCAAAGUAGCUGUUAAAAAUAAAGAUUGCCAUUUUCCAUGUGAAUAAUCAUGACCUUAGAGUUUUAUAUAUACCCCAUUAUUUCUGAUAAUUUUACAUCCUAAUGUUUAGAGUUAUUAAACUGUGACAGAUUGUUUGGGGCUAGACUACUACAUGCUAUGAACUAAAUAACAGGUGAGUCUUGCCAGGGCUAAUUACAGGAAGUUCUGGUGUCAUCAGCUAAUGCUUCUCUUGGAAAAAAAAAUGAUUGCUUACACUGUCGAUCAAUGUUCACUGUUUUAUUUUAUCUCAUAUUUAUUAUAAGCAAGUAUUAAAUAUAAUAUUCUGAAUCACAUUCAUUUUAUUUUCAAUAGGUUUUUUAAAUUAAAAAUAUGUAAGGGAUUAUGGGAAGAAAAAGCUAGAAAUAACUUGAAAAAAACCUAAUUAUAUGACAAAUAUAUAAGACUUUGUACACUUAGUGUAUAACUGCAUUAACAACUCGAUGAUUAUGUAUGAUUUUUCUCAAAAUGUAACUUUGAAGCAGACUGUACUACAUUUUAGUAAAACACUGAGAAAAAAUAAGCUAGAAUAUAUAAUUUUGAUAAAUUCUAAAAAUUUUUAAUUUCUUAAAUGGAUAUAUUGUUAUAAUUUCUAUCUUUAAUAAAAUAGCUAGUUAAGAUUUUAUAUCACUUGUGCAGAAUGCAAGAUUAGACAUAGUUGCUUUAUAGAGGCCACCAUAACAACCAAAAUGGAAAUCAAAACUUACUCACAAAUCAGUAUGGAAGAGGUCAGGACUGCAGGAUGUAUUAUAAAAGAAAGGUAUGAACAUAUUAAGUUUCAUAUAAGGAAAAAGGAAAAUAAGGAAUGUAUUGAUCAAACUGGUUAUGAAAAGCUUUUUUUGUUUUUAGAGUUGUCCAUGGUCACCUUUCAGUCCCAUCUUGUGGAACUGGUUACCUGUAAUCCACCAGGGACACCUUCAACUACAUUAAAAUAAAUGUAUUAAAAAUUUACGAAAGUUUUCAUAUAAAAUUAAGUACAUCAUAGCAAAAUCUUUUAUCGUUUUGUCUCCUACAUUUUUAUUAAAGGAAACCUAUAUUGAUAAGUUAAUAUAAGCCUAUAUUGAUAAGUUUGAAAUCUUCAGAAAACUUUAAGGAAUACAAACAUCAUUUAUGAACAUUAAAGGUCAAAGUACAUUUACAUGUUGAUUUAGAAAUGAGCCUCCUGGCUGGGCAUGGUGGCUCACGCCUGUAAUCUCAACACUUUCAAAGGCCAAGGCAAGUAGACUGCUUGAGGACAGGAGUUCAAGACUAGCCUGGGAAAAAUGGUGAAACCCUGUCUCUACAAAAAAUACAAAAAUUAGCCAGAUAUGGUGGUGUGUGCCUGUAGCUACUAGGGAGGCUAAGGUGGGAACCUGGGAGGCAGAGGUUGCAAUGAGCGGAGAUGGUGCCACUGCACUGCAACCUGGGUGACAGAGUGAGACUUUGUCUCAAAAAAGAAAAGAAAGAAGAGAUGAGCCUCUUUCAAAUGCACCAAGUUCAUUCAUCUGAAGCUCACUUAGAAUUGUAAAAGAAUUACUGUAACAUCACUCAAUACAUUUCCUCAGAUUUUAUACCCUGAAAUUAUUUCCGUUGACACAAAUAUAAAUGAGUUAUUUUUAAAGAAGAAUGAGAAUUCACUUCUUGUUUCCAGAUUCCAAAAUAGUAAAAACAAAACUAAAUCUUGAAUGUGACAGGGAAUGCAAAAUAAAGUACCUGACUUUGAACAACAGGAGAUACUGACAGUAUAGGAAACAAGCAUUUUUUUUUUUUUUGAGACAUAGUCUUUUUCUGUUCCCCAGGCUGGAGUGCAAUAGCACAACGGCUCACUGCAACCUCCACCUCCUAGGCUCAAGCAAUUCUCCCCACUCAGCCUCCCGAGUAGCUGGGAUUACAGGCAUGCACCACCACGCUUGGCUAGUUUUUGUAUUUUUAGUAGAGAUGGGUUUUUGCCAUGUUGGCCAGGCUGGUCUCGAACUCCUGACCUCAGGUGAUCUGCCUUCCACAGCCUCCCAAAGUGCUGGGAUUAUAGGCGUCAGCCACCGUGCUUGGCCUGAUUUUUUUUUAAUUGAAAACAAAAAGAAACCUGAAUUAUCACUGUUUUAUGAAUUAAGUUGGUGCUCAUAUUUCUCAAUUGUAUUUUCAGUUUUUGAAUACAAUCUGUAAAUAUAAAUUAGGUAAUGCUAUUCUAUUACAGUAAGUUAUAAUGUAUCUAUAUGAGACCUACAGUGUUUGGGUUGAUAAAGUCUAAGCAAUUUUUUUUAACUUUUAUCAUAUUAA